CCCUAUUAUUUUAGAAUGUUAAAUUUUUUGUACCUGAGUAGUAUUAGUUAUGUUCUUGAAACUUAAAGAAUUUGGCGGUAUCUCAUUCCGUCUAGAGGAAUCUGUCCCGUUAUCGAUAGUCCGCGUUGGACCUUACUUAUUUGAAUUUGGUUUGUAUACCGCCGUUUAUUGAUUAUCUUUUUAGGGUUUAUGUUAAUUUUCUGGUUUCUUUAUUUUGAUGUAUUUCAGGUCAAGGUGCAGCUUGUUUUUAAGUGGAAUGAUGGAUUACAUUGUUAUUUGUUUAUGGAUUGUUAAUUUUAAUAUUGGCAUGAAAUUGGAUUUAGUUGUAAUAGUUUGUAGAUUGUUAUUAUGAUAGUUGGUUCUGGGAUAUGUACACAUCGCCCGUCGCUCUCGUUUGUUUAUUAUAAUGAGAUAAGUC
rnacentral:rRNA from 1 species